CUGCCAUGAUGACGCCUAUGUGAAUAUGAACUAUCAAUAAUACUGUGUGUUUGUAUCUACAGGCUGGAAGGGGAAAAGAAAGAGAUGUGGCAGAGUCGUACUGAGUUCACCUUCAUCUUAAGUUGGUCCCCAGCAGUGAGCUCAGUCACAAAAGGUUGCCUUGGUUUUGGCAUUUGACACAGCCACAGAGAAGUAACUGAGAGAGCAUAUGAGCUUCCC
rnacentral:lncRNA from 1 species